AUCGCUGGCCGGGUGUCGGAGGAGCCCCGAGCUCCCCGGCUGCCGUGCCGAGGGAUCCGGCUGCUCCAUCUGCCCGCACGCCGCGGGCGCAGCGAGGCUCGGAGGCGCCUUUGUUUGCAGGAUGCCGCUGCUCGCACCUCACCCGACACCCGCAAUCUGCACAGGUGCCCUGCCCCAUGUACCUGGAGCCAGACGUGAGCCACCUCAUGGGGCCCGGCCAGCAUUGCAAUCUGGUUUUGCCCUCUCAGGGCCCCCUUGUCUUUCACUCAUCAUGGAAGGUGCUGAAAGGAGCAGGUGCUGAAAUUUUUAGAUGUCUUUUAAAGACUCCACUCCAGGGAACUGGUCACCAUGGAAAGGGCUUGCCAAUGGACAUGUUAAAUGCAGAGAAAAGAUGGAAAUUGAUCUUCUGAACAGUGCUUUGUGGAUGGCAGUAAUGGAUGGUUAAAUGUUCAUAAGUCUAUGAAAUGGAGACCCAUGACAGGACUUGUUCCGUGGGGAACCUCCAGGAAUAAGAGAUAUCCUUUCUUUUUGGUUGUUGUGUUGUUUAGUUUUGGGGUUUUUUUCCUUUUUUUUUUUUUUUUUUUUUUUCCCCAGGGUGUGUGUUGUUGAAUUAUUCACUUGGGAGGAGGGAUAGAGGCCUUUUCCUCACUUAGGAUACACCAGAACACACAGGUCUCUGAGUCUGAAAAACUGAGCAUUAUUAAGAUUGUAAAUUCCUAUGUAUUCCUAAGUGAGAAACAGAUUGAUUUUCUUAUCAGGCUAUGUUUUCCUAGUCAAUAUUUACUUGUCCUUAUGUAUAAAUGCUGAUCUUAUUAGAGCAAUAAAUUAUCUCACUUCUAAUCCAGUUUCUUACAUGAAGUCCUUUUCUUCUCCUUCUUCCUUUUCUUUUUGAGAAAUUUAACAGGAUAUUGUAGUGCCCAUAACUACUAUUUUUUCUUCUCUUUCUCAGGGUGUGGGUUUGCAUCCAUUAAAUUCAUUGCAAAGGAGAAACUAAAUGCUUUCCAGGUAUGGCAUGCAUUCUCCUACUGUAAUAGUGCAUGAUGGAUGAUGAAUUUUUCUAUUUCUUGCCCCAGAAAAAUGGAUAUGAAACUGUUAAUCCAGCAAUCAGUACCUCUGCUAUUGGAAUUUGUAUCAUUAGGCACAGCUAUAUUAGGAACUGUCACAGUAAAGCAUCCCAGGGAAAGAUAUAUGUCAAAAGAGCAAAAGUGAUCAAAUAAAAAAGUGAAAGGUAUUCUGCCACUCAGAGAAAGACAAUGCCUGAAGCAGACUAUAAGGAAAGAUCAGGUUUGUGAGUCUCUACAAAACAGUUUGUGUUUUAGUAUAUGGAAAA